GACGAACGCUGGCGGCGUGCUUAACACAUGCAAGUCGAACGGAAAGGCCCUGCUUUUGUGGGGUGCUCGAGUGGCGAACGGGUGAGUAACACGUUAGUAACCUGCCCUUGACUUUGGGAUCACUUCAGGAAACUGGGGCUCAUACCGGAUAGGAUCUCCUGCUGCAUGGUGGGGGUUGGUAAGUUUCGGCGGUUGGUGAUGGACUCGCGGCUGAUCAGCUUGUUGGUGGGGUUGUGGAUUACCAAGGAUUUGACGGGUAGCCGGCCUGCGAGGGUGACCGGCCAGAUAGGGAGGGAGAGACGGCCCAGACAGAUACGGGAGGCAGGAGUGGGGAAGAAUGAACAAAGGGCGGAAGAAGGAUGCAGCAACGCAGGGUGCGGGAGGACGGCAUUCGGGUUGGAAACCGCUUUCGCCUGUGACGAAGCGUGAGUGACGGUAAGGGGUAAAGAGACACCGGCUAACUACGU
rnacentral:rRNA from 1 species